rnacentral:lncRNA from 1 species
UCCACCCUCUCCUUCCCUGCUGUGUCCACAAAUCCAUUCUCUACAUCUGUGUCUCUGUUCCGCCCCGCAGAUAGAUUCAACGGUACCAUUUUCCUAGAUUUCAUAUUUAUGCAGUAUUCCGACAGGUGUGGGGCCUUGGUUUUGAUUUGCAUUUUCGUGAUGAUUAGUGAUGCUGAGCCAGCCGGAGAUCCUUUUAAGCACUCUGGUGCUAGCAAGCACUCGAUCAAUUUCAGCUAUUCUUUUUAUUAAUAUGUGGUCCUUCAGCAAAUAUAGCUGGGAAAGAUGGCUCACUGAGCCAUUAACUCCUUGGUAUGAAUUAGUUUCUCAGCAGGAAUAGUUGAGAAAGGACCUCAGGAUGGGAGCAAGGAUGGAGUUACAGAGAGGGAGAGCUUAAAAAAAAAAGAAUGCUAGGGAAUCUAAAGCAAAUCUCUUUGUGGUUUUGCUGAGGCCCACCCCGGCACAGCAUGAAGAUAGCUCUGCAAGCAGCCGUUGGCGUAUCUCCCUCUGAGCCCAGCCAGGCGGUGGAGGAAAUGAAGAGGCGCUCCAGGGAGGGGCACGGCCAAGAGGCCAGGGCGGAGCGGGGAGAGCCGGUGGUGAGCGCAGCUGCCCUGCGACAUGGACGGCCCUUCGCGCUGCUGCUGCUGGCCCAGGACACAGCAGGGGUCGUGAUGGCAGCUCUUGGGCAGUGUCCUCUGCACCCCGGCCCCUUCGGCUCUCCACGCACCCAGGCGGGGCCACCUCCUCCAGGCUCUGCUGGGACACUGCUCUUGGUUCUGCAGACAAAGUGCCUCAACUUCCACAAUCGGCACUUCCCAGAUCAAUCAUCACCUACUUUAUCAUCCAGUUUGGUUGGUUCAGAUGACUUUAAGUUCCUAUGGAAGAAUGAAACACAGCGAGGAGAAGAGAAUUGCCGAUUCCCAGGGGCCUGUGUCUGCCAGCGGCUGCUGAGUACCUCUGAGAAACUCUGCUUUGAGCUAAUAGGAACCCCCUGUUCUGGGAAGAUCAGUAUAUGGAACAAAAACCUCUGGGUGGACCCCUGGGCAAGAUGA